CGAACGCUGGCGGUAUGCUUCACACAUGCAAGUCGAACGAGAAAGCUUCUUCGGAAGUGAUUAGAGUGGCGCACGGGUGAGUAACACGUAGAUAACCUGCCCUUCAGUUUGGGACAACCCUUCGAAAGGGGGGCUAAUACCGGAUAAUACCUUUUAUCGAGUGGUGAGAGGUUGAAAGAUUUAUCGCUGAAGGAUGGGUCUGCGUACCAUUAGCUUGUUGGUAGGGUAAUAGCCUACCAAGGCUUCGAUGGUUAACGGGUCUGAGAGGAUGAUCCGUCACACUGGAACUGAGACACGGUCCAGACUCCUACGGGAGGCAGCAGUGGGGAAUUUUGCGCAAUGGGGGAAACCCUGACGCAGCAAUACCGCGUGAGUGAAGAAGGCCUUUGGGUCGUAAAGCUCUUUUCUAAGGGAAGAUAAUGACGGUACCUUAGGAAUAAGCACCGGCUAACUCC
rnacentral:rRNA from 1 species